rnacentral:rRNA from 1 species
UACGUAGGGUGCAAGCGUUAAUCGGAAUUACUGGGCGUAAAGCGUGCGCAGGCGGUUCGCCAAGUCAGGUGUGAAAUCCCCGGGCUUAACCUGGGAAUUGCGCUUGAAACUAGCGGGCUUGAGUGCGGCAGAGGGGGGUGGAAUUCCACGUGUAGCAGUGAAAUGCGUAGAGAUGUGGAGGAACACCGAUGGCGAAGGCAGCCCCCUGGGUCGACACUGACGCUCAUGCACGAAAGCGUGGGGAGCAAACAGG